rnacentral:rRNA from 1 species
UACGUAGGUGGCAAGCGUUGUCCGGAUUUACUGGGCGUAAAGAGCGCGCAGGCGGUCGUUCAAGUCGCGUGUGAAAGCCCCCGGCUCAACUGGGGAGGGUCACGCGAUACUGAUCGACUCGAAGGCAGGAGAGGGUAGUGGAAUUCCCGGUGUAGUGGUGAAAUGCGCAGAUAUCGGGAGGAACACCAGUGGCGAAGGCGGCUUCCUGGACCGACACUGACGCUGAGGCGCGAAAGCUAGGGGAGCAAACGGG